GAUGAACGCUGGCGGCGUGCUUAAUACAUGCAAGUCGAACGAAUGGAUGUCUGGCUUGCUAGACUGAAGUUAGUGGCGAACGGGUGAGUAAUACAUAGGCAAUCUGCCCUGAAGUGUGGGAUAGCUAUUGGAAACGAUAAUUAAUACCGCAUAGGUAGUAGGAAGGCAUCUUCCUACUAUUAAAGAUGCGUCUGCAUCGCUGCAGGAUGAGCUUAUGGUGUAUUAGCUAGUUGGUGAGAUAAAAGCCCACCAAGGCUAUGAUACAUAGCUGGUCUGAGAGGAUGAACAGCCACAUUGGGACUGAGACACGGCCCAGACUCCGUACGGGAGCAGCAGUAAGGUAAUUUCGGCAAGUGGGGCACCUGACCGAGCAACGCCGCGUGAGUGAU
rnacentral:rRNA from 1 species